rnacentral:rRNA from 1 species
CGGCCGUACUUCCCAGGUGGCUCGCUUCACGGCUUCCCUACGGCACCGACAACGGUCGCACCGUGGCCGACACCUAGCGAGUAUCGUUUACGGCUAGGACUACCCGGGUAUCUAAUCCGGUUCGUGCCCCUAGCUUUCGUCCCUUGCCGUCAGGUCCGUUCUGGUGAGACGCCUUCGCCACUGGUGGUCCUUCAAGGAUUACAAGAUUUCACCCCUACCCCUGAAGUACCUCUCACCUCUCCCGGCCUCGAGCCGAACAGUAUCUCCUGAAAGCCCAACAGUUGAGCUGCUGGAUUUCUCAAGAGACUUAUCCGGCCGGCUACAGACCCUUUAGACCCAAUAAUAACGGUUACCACUCGAGCCGCCGGUGUUACCGCGGCGGCUGGCACCGGUCUUGCCCGGCCCUUGCUAUGCAAUGCUUUUUAUGCAUCACGACAGCCAGAUUUGUAACCUGGCACUCGAGGUCCCCUUAUCGCCGUUGCCGGCAUUGUAAAGUUUUCGCGCCUGCUGCACCCCGUAGGGCCUGGAUUCGUGUCUCAGAAUCCAUCUCCGGGCUCUUGCUCUCACAACCCGUACCCGUCGUAGGCUAGUAGGUACGCUACACCCACUACUACCUGAUAGGCCGCAGACCCAUCCUCUGGCGCCGGAGCUUUCGAUCUCGGGGCAUUCCAGCGACCGAGAUCUAUCGGGGAUUAUACCCAGUUUCCCGGGUUUAUACCCGUCCGGAGGGUAGGUUGUCCACGUGUUACUGAGCAGUACGCCAUGUA